CAAAAACAUCGCCUCCCGCAAAAAUCAACGUAUAGGAGGUCUUGCCUGCCCAGUGACUGUAAGUUAAACGGCCGCGGUAUUUUGACCGUGCAAAGGUAGCGCAAUCACUUGUCUUUUAAAUGAAGACCUGUAUGAAUGGUAGAACGAGGGCUUAACUGUCUCCCCCCUCCCGUCAAUGAAAUUGAUCUACCCGUGCAGAAACGGGUAUAAUAAUACAAGACGAGAAGACCCUUUGGAGCUUAAGAUAAAAGACCAACUAUGUCAAAAGUCCCAAAAAAGACUAAACCAAGUAGCACUGGUCCCAAUCUUCGGUUGGGGUGACCACGGGAGAAAACAAAGCUCCCACGCGGACUGGGGCAGCCCCCUAAAACUAAGAAAGACAUCUCUAAGGCACAGAAUAUCUGACCAAAAAGAUCCGGCUACAUGCCGACCAACGGACCAAGUUACCCUAGGGAUAACAGCGCAAUCCCCUUCCAGAGUCCAUAUCGACAAGGGGGUUUACGACCUCGAUGUUGGAUCAGGACAUCCUAAUGGUGCAGCCGCUAUUAAGGGUUC
rnacentral:rRNA from 1 species